UACAACAGAAGAUAUUGAAAAAGAAUGUAACUUUAAAACUCUCACAAGAAGCUUGAAUCAUCAGUCAACUCCGACAGAGAAGCAAACCCAAGCAGAGACUGAUCUUUAGCUCUCUCAAUCUUAUGCUUAUA
rnacentral:sRNA from 1 species